rnacentral:rRNA from 1 species
GACGAACGCUGGCGGCGUGCCUAAUACAUGCAAGUCGAACGCAUUGGGGACGGGUGAGUAACACGUGGGUAACCUCCCAUCAGAGGGGAUAACACUUGGAAACAGGUGCUAAACCGAUACUGAUGGAUGGACCCGCGGUGCAUUAGCUAGUUGGUGAGGUAACGGCUCACCAAGGCCACGAUGCAUAGCAGACCUGAGAGGGUGAUCGGCCACACUGGGAUUGAGACACGGCCAUGACUCCUACGCGAGGAAGCAGUAGGGAAUCUUCGGCAAUGGAGGAAAGUCUGAACAAGCAACGCCGAGUGAGUUCAGAGGGGUUUCGGAUCGUAAGCAGCUUUUGUUAGAGAAGCGGUAUCUAACCAGAAAGCCACGGCUAACUACGUGCCGGCAGCCGCGGUAAUUC